ensembl:lncRNA
CUUUUUUUUUUCAACAGCUUGCAGUUCAGUGUUUCUAUAACACGCAACUAAUCUCACAUAGACUUGACACUCAAGCAAGAUGGUAUGAUGACUGAUGCCUUCACCUUUUUCUGAAUAGCAUUAUUAGCUUUUACUGUAUGAAGGCACAUGGUAAAACUGAUGGGACUUUUCUGGGGUAGCACAUAUUUUAUCCAACUGCAACAAUGAUGUCUUAGCAACUGAAAAUUGGCCAAUCAUUUUAAUCAAUUCGACUAUUUCUUUCUAGAAGAAAAGUUAAAUGAUCUGCCAAAGGAAUAAGACCAUUUCAAGCUCGAAAUUAAAUGUCUGGAAAUAUGCUGAAAAUAAGAAUCAUAUCUCUUUUAUAAAAAUCUCCCAAUGAAAAAUACUGCAUAAAUAUGAUUUGCUUAGAAAUAUUUUUUUUUGCUGUAUAUCCUUUGAGUGAAGUGUUUCUCAAGGAUUCUUUGGACUGUUAAGACUGUUAAGACUGUUAUAACACUGUUAUAGUGUUUUCUAAAGGGGUUCUAUAGAUAAGGGAUAGUGAUUGGAAAACCCUCUUUUGUAAAGUUCUACAUAGAAACUUUAAGGCUUCACCCAGAAGGACAAACCAAAGAACGCUUAGAGGUGUCAGAUUGAGCUGUUUUGUGUUAUUAUAUUUGGGGUUGCAGCUUAGCUGUUAAACAUUGCAGCCAUACAGUAUAUUCCUACAAGUGAAUACUUGGCUCGUGGCCUUGCCAUGAGAAUAAAUUUUCUUGUAUAAGUUAAGCUGAAUAGCAGCAGUAUCACAUAAUAACAUCAGAGCUGAUGAACAAAAUGGUAACCUUGUGCCUAAUAGAAAGAAAUUCAACUCCAUGUGUUGAUAGUGGCAGUAUUACAGAAUAUUCCCAGAGAGAGGAAAUGUAUAGAGACAGUGUUGCAUCUAGGGCAAGUUUCUUCUGGAUGGCAGAUGUCCUCUCUGUAGAGCUCUCAGACAAGUGAUCUGUUCUUUAAAAGAAGCUGGUCUCAGUAGAAAGUGGUAACCUUUUUGAGCUACAGAACUCAAUUUAAAAACAUACACUGUCUAUAUGAGGUCAGAAUACACAGAUAUCACAGUGUGCAAUGCAAUGUCAUGAUCUGUAUCUGUUUAGUGCUCCCAAUAAUUACCUCUAUAUCUGUAUUCAGAUUUGAACCAGAAGUGGAUGUGGUCCAGACUACUGUAGAAGGUUUAUUUACAGUGGCGCUUGAAAGUUUGCGAUCCUUUAGAAUUUUCUAUAUUUCUGCAUAAAUAUUAACUUCAAGUCAAAGUCCUGAACUUAAUCUAAUAAAAAUGUCGUGGUAGGACCUGAAGCAAGCAGUUCAUGUAAGGAAUUCAUUCCAGAGUUGAUGCUGUUCUGUUCCGAGGAAUGGGCUAAAAUUCCUCAAAGCCGAUGUGCAGGACUGAUCAACAGUUACCACAAACAUUUAGUUGCAGUUAUUGCUGCACAAGGGGGUCACACCGGAUACUCAAAGCAAAGGUUCACACACUUUUGCCACUAACAGAUAUGUUAUAUUGGAUCAUUUUCCUCAAUAAAUAAAUGAUGAAGUAUUAUAUUUUUUAGAUCAAAUUUAUGCACAUACAUAGAGAAAUCAAAAGGUAAAACGGGGUACUUUAAGCAGCAUUAAAGCAUUAGGCUCUGGGUUACUGAGCAGAAGGUCAGGGAUUCAUGCCCCAACACCUCCAAAUUCCCACUGUUGAACCCUUGAGCAAGGCCCUUAGCCCUCUCUGCUCCAGGGGUGCUGGAUCAUGGCUGACCCUGUGCUCUGACCACAGCUUCCUAACAAGCAGGGAUAUGCGAAGAAAAGAAUUUCACUAUGAUGUAAUGUAUAUGUGACAAAUAAAGGCUGCUUUCUUUAUAAUGCUGGAAUGAUUUUUCUCAAAGAUUUUCUUUUAAUAACAAUGCAGAAUGUUCAGUUAAGACUGACGAAAACAUACAAAAUGAACGUAUUAGUUAAUAUUUUUUAAUUAAUUAAAUUAUUAACUUUUGAGAGACGCACAAAAUCAGCUGAGAUAUACUGCCCUGUACACAGCACUUGGUCUGAGGGCUAUAUGGAGCAGCAGCUCUGUGAAGUUCUACAUAAAUAUGGUUUUAUUUGUUUAGAUGGGCCUACUGAAGCAAACAGCUGAAGCAAAAAACCCAAAAAACAACAACAACAAAAACACAAAUAGUGCAGCUCUCAUUCAUGUUUGUAUUUGUAUCUGUUCAAAACACAUUAUCUAUUCAGUAUGAAUCCUUUUAUUGGUUACAUCUUUAACAUGAAUGAUAUAAGUGAUGUGUUAUAAAGCCUGCUCACACCAAACUAUUAAAAACUCUGAUAGUAACAGCCAAGGGCGCACGGUGGCUUAGUGGUUAGUACGUUUGCCUCACACCUCUGGGGUUUGAUUCCCGCCAGGGCCAUGUGUGUGCGGAGAUUGCAUGUUCUCCCUGUGCUGCGGGGGUUUCCUCCGGGUACUCCGGUUUCCUCCCCCAGUCCAAAGACAUGCAUGGUAGGCUGAUUGGCAUGUCCAAAGUGUCCGUAGUGUAUGAAUGUGUGUGAUUGUGUGCCCUGCGAUGGACUGGCACCCUGUCCAGGGUGUACCCUGCCUUGUGCCCAAUGCUCCCUGGGAUAGGCUCCAGGUUCCCUGUGACCCUGAAAAGGAUAAGCGGUAUAGAAGAUGGAUGGAUGGAGGGAUCUGUUACCUACAGUAGGUCCGAAGUGUGUUCUUUGCUUAGACAUGUUUGGUUCUGAAUUGUGUUUAGAUUUGUGAUGUGUUUAGUUUUGAGAUGUGCUUAGGCUUCAGUCUGAGAUGUAUUUGUUUCUGAAUCGUGUUUGGUUUUGAGAUGUUUUGGUCCUGAAUUGUGUUUUGAUUUGUAAUUUAUUUGCUCAUGAGAUGUGCUUAGGUUUGAG